GGAAGGCUUGCGUUUCUCGAACCUGGGACUCUUCAAAACCAGUGGUCGGCGACCCGAGUCGUCGACGGUGGGUUCGAUUCCCAUGCCUUUCCGCCA
rnacentral:tRNA from 1 species